UACGAAGGGUGCAAACGUUGCUCGGAAUUAUUGGGCGUAAAGCGCACGUAGGCGGCUCUGCAAGUCGGAUGUGAAAUCUUAUGGCUUAACCAUAAAAGUGCAUCCGAAACUGCAGUGCUUGAGUACUUAAGAGGAUCGCGGAAUUCCCGGUGUAGAGGUGAAAUUCGUAGAUAUCGGGAGGAACACCAGUGGCGAAGGCGGCGAUCUGGGAAGAUACUGACGCUGAGGUGCGAAAGCGUGGGGAGCAAACAGG
rnacentral:rRNA from 1 species